AGCUGUCUCGUGCAUGUCGAUCAUUCCUCCCGAUCGAUGAGGCAGCUGUUCCCUCUGGAGGUUUUGACCUCACUCCUAGCCACCGCUUGACGGUGGCUUUU
rnacentral:sRNA from 1 species